rnacentral:rRNA from 1 species
UACGGAGGGUGCAAGCGUUAUCCGGAUUCACUGGGUUUAAAGGGUGCGUAGGUGGGCUUGUAAGUCAGCGGUGAAAUCUCCGGGCUUAACCCGGAAACUGCCAUUGAUACUAUAAGUCUUGAAUUAUCUGGAGGUGAGCGGAAUAUGUCAUGUAGCGGAUGAAAUGCUUAGAUAUGACAUAGAACACCAAUUGCGAAGGCAGCUCACUACGGAUCGAUUGACACUGAGGCACGAAAGCGUGGGAUCAAACAGG